UUCUUCUACUUGGACCAAACCAUCCAGUCGAGGCCGAGGCUGAUUCUAUUUCAGUUGUUAUGAUCUUGAGCUCGAUACCCAUGCUCCCUGAUCCGAUCAUUUUGUAUUAGCUGUUUUAGGUUUCAUACUAUUUAGUUGUUGUUUGUUUCAGUUGUUAUAUUUUGUUGAAUGUAGGAAAAACUUAUGUUCAUAGAUAUGUAUAA
rnacentral:lncRNA from 1 species